GUGUCUAAAUUGUUUUUACUGCUGUGUAAAUAUUUCAGAAUUUGGAAUAUUUCUACUGGAAAUCAUGUCAUCUUUAAGAAAUUUGAGCAUGCAAGGGGUACAUGUUAUCUUCAGUUGUGAUGAGUUGAUUCAUUGCCGGAUGCUAGUUAGCCAAAGAUAGAAGCAAUUUUUAUGCUAUUAAUCAUGUUUCCUACAAGCUUAACAGUAGUUUUCCAAAAAGGAAAGUUGCAUCAAAUAUUUUAUCCCUGUGGUCAUCUUGGUGUUUGCAGAGUGCUUCAGUUUCUCCUGAAGGUGGAUCACAAGAGUGCUAUGGAUCUGUUGGUUCAUGGUUUCUAAGAAGGGAGAAGAGAUGGUCAUAGUCACAUGUGCAACCUCAAGGGAAACCAUUAAACAUUAGCUGGGAAGCAAGAUGAGUAUUUCAAAAGUUAACGAAUGUUCUCUUUAGCUGUGGGUUUUGUCUCACUCACCGUCAUGGUGUGAAGGGGGAAGAGACUGUGUUCUGUGAUCUGUGACUCUGUGGGAGGGAUCAGUACACUUCGUUCUCCGCCUGACCUUCAGUCAGUAUUGCAGAAGACUUGGCAUGCUUUGGGAGCUUCCGUGAAGGGAAGGUGAGUUACACUCACUUACAAGUUGCUCACCCCGAGUCACAGGCUGUGUUGGACACUGAGGAGAUAAAGGAACUUCACCUCUUCUGGAGCACAGCUGACAGACAAAAUGAGCAGGUCUUCACCGCAUGGCAUAGGCAGUGACCGCUCUGGGGCUGGUCCAAAUGCUGUUCUGUCUGCUUAGGGAUUCCAGAUGAAUCACCCUCCUGGGUCUGUUUCUUCAUCUGAAAAGUGGACUGGUGGUGGCAAUGUUUCCUGGAGAAGGUUAUCAUUAAGGUCGACUAAGAAAGAAGGUGAAAGUCCCCACCAGCUUCCCGUAACGGGGCAGCAGUCCCUCCCGUCCUCUCUGCCGUCCCUCUGUCCGUCAUGAUGGUCCAUCUGAAUGUUCCACCUGAUGCCCUGGGGAGCACUGCCAAGGCCGAAAAGAGAGGUGCACGCCAGGCCCUCCUCCUUCGGUCGCCCUCCAAAGUCAGUCUGGUUUCUGAGAUGAUGAGGCAUAGUUACACUGGUGAAUCUAAACUCGCUGAGAUCACAGGGCUGGAAAAAUUGUUGCGAGUCUCAAGGCAGGUGUGGAAUGAUCAUCUCCAGAUGUGAUGUGCAGCUGGAAAGAUGACAGCAGAGUCUGUUCCCAUCCUGGCUGUUUGGGUUCAUUGUAUUGACAACCGCAGCUGGAGCCACUGGCCACAAAGAAACAGGACAAGAGCACAGAGGGAAAAUCCUGCAGUCCCCUUUCAUGCAUGCCAAUAAAAAUGUAUCAGUGCGCUCUGAGAAAAACAGAACACAAUCACAAUGGCUCUUGAAGGAAGAAGCACUAAGCUCAUAGACGUUAUGUUAGGAAGUAAAAAGGUGGUAGAGUGGGCUGGGCGAGUCUGGGGUCCCUGGAAUCAGCUCAAAUCUUAACUGUCCCACUUAAAACUUGUUUGAAAUUGUUAUGAGGUUUAAGCGUGGAGUUUCUUUCACAUUUUCAUUCAUUCAUCAAGCUAGUCAAUGAAACCAUUAAAUACCUACUCUAUGCGAGACAUUGCUGCAGGACUCAUCUUUGAAUUCUUUUUCUCCAAAGGGCUAUUUUAGGCUUUCGGGCGUUGCGAUCUGUUUCAGAUGCUCAGCUGGGCUGCACAGUGUGGAAAUGGUUGUAGAGACCUGAUAUGGGCCUGCUGUGCUUUAAUGUAAUGUUGGGCUUGGCCUGUGGGGUAUAGUUUACCAUUCCUACCUGUUAUAAGUGCUAAACAAAACCCAUAACUUCACAGUGGUUUCAUUUCAGUGGAAAAGAUAGAACAAACACAAGUGAAUGAAAAACAAGGUAAGCACAAGAGUCCUUUCUCUGAUCGGUACAGCAUGCUUGCUACCCUCCUCGGGCACGCUGCAGAGCAGGGACUUGCUGGGUCCUUCUGGAAGUCAUCUAUGCAGAGAGAAUCUCAAACUCUGGGCUUCUAGGAGGGUCUGCUUUUGAGUUGUAUGAGUUUGAGUAAGGAAAAGGAGAACUCAGAAUUUGUAGCUGCCACAUUUUCCACCUGUGCUGGGUCUUACGCUGCGGUUAACCCUUCUUUAUCCUUCUCCUCUUUAAGAGCUAAAGGGGACACAAGAAUGCACAGAAAGAGCCUCAAACUGAGUCACCCCACCGCAAUCAUCAGGACUACAUCCAGUGGAGAAUGCCUUAAAGGACCACCGUAUAACAAAGGGAUCGACUUGAGUACUUCAGUUCCAUUUAUCUCAAAUCAGUUCAUACGGAGAUAAAGAAACAGUCUCCUAGAAAGGCUGACGAUUGCAUGUAUUGGUUUUGGGAAUUGGCAAAUGUUUUAAAGUGGAAUAGAUUUCAAUCUUAAAGUAAAUGACUAUAUUUUACAUUUUUAUAAAUAGUACUUUCAGAGUUCAACACAAAAACAUACAUUACUCGUAUCCACUUGUAUAUCGCCUCCUAUAUCCGGGCACAUUUAACUUUUCCAGUCUCCUGAAGGCUGGGUGAUACUACUGUUCCCACUUUACAGAUGACGCAAAGGAAGAAGAUGGGCUGCCCAACGGUAGACUGCAAGGAGCCACAGCCCCGGGAUCGUGGCCCCAAGCACAGACGUGCUGCAUGAUUCCAGACCCAUUUCUCUCUUCAGUUCUAGUAACACACUGAGAAGUGGGUGGGUCCUGCACGGUGUUAGUGCUUGAGUACAAAACCGCUUAUGCAUGAAUGAACAACUUGAAUGUUUUUCUACUUUAGCAAAUGUUUUUCUAGAAAGCUCCUUUAAUGGUGGUCUCAAUUAGAUUAGCUUAAUUAAUAUCUGAAUUACAUACUUUAGGCAAAUCAAUUUUUUUUUUUUGGUACUGGGGAUCAAACUCACAAACCCAUGCCCACCAGGUAAGUGCUUACGCCACUGAGCUAAAUCUCCAGCCCCCGGCAAAUCAGUUUUGAAGGCAGUGGAUCGAAUACUUCUUUAUGUCCAUCUGAUAAUGAACAUUGUCAUGGUUUGUAUUUGGAAUUCCUGAAGAAUUUAGCGGUGAGUUUUCAGCUGAAAGUUCUCCAUAAGGCUGUAAGGAAAAAUUGCAUGUUUUCUACCACUUGGUAAUUUGGAUGAUGAAACAGAGUGAAAACUUGAGAUGCAAAUGGAAUUAAACAAUUUCUGGACACAGGUUGUUCAGAUUCGUGUGGCUGUUGCUAUUCUUACGAAAAAAGUAAACCAAUGGAAUUAAACGGCUGAGGAACAAACUGCAAAGCCUACAAACACUUUACGGCCUCCUGAUCCCGCCACUGAGCCCGGCCCUGCCUGCACACUGGACCCGCCCUCCUCCUCUGCUGGAGCCUUGGCCUGCUUGGCUCUGCCCCAUGUGCCCGGCUCCGGUCCCUGCCCUCUGCCCCCUGUUUGGGGCAGCCUUCCCUGCUGCUCUCAGCUGUGCCCUGCCCGGCUCGAUUCCCUCACUGUUUGUUUUGUGCUUUUUUUUUUUAAUUAUCGUCUGCUAUCUCUUGUGGCGUAUUUGUUUCUUGUCUAUUUCUGCUUCUACAGAGGGAACUUGCUGAGAAUAAGGAUAUUUUUUAUUUAGUGAUGAAUCCUUCACAUCAGAAAAGUGCUUGGUAAAUAUUUGCUGAGCGAAUGAACCAAAAGAGAAGAGUUCAAAUGCAUGCCAUCCUUUGCAGACUUGCAGUUAGGGCUGAGAACUGUCACAGUGACCACUGGGUGGCCACAGCUGCCUUCCACAUCGGCAUGGAGUCUGGUUCCCUGCUGACCUCAGGGUGCCAGAGCCCUGUGUGACACUGUUUUCCUGAAUGGAGAGGGUCAUAUUGUUUGCUUGUCCAAGAGCCAUGAGAUCUGUCAGGUCAUAGCUACCAGGAAAUUCAUUCUCAUUGAUUUUCUCCAAGUGUUUAGGGGCUGCAGCGAGUGCUCUGAGGGCCCUGCCGCCACUGGACGGGCUCAGGUGCACUGGAGGAGACAGAGAGGAAAUCACAGUUCCUGCUAAUUAGUGCUCUGAUCAGAUCCAAAGGUCGGAUCACGUACAUGAAGGGCAUCCAAGGGCAGCUUGUAGGAAAGAAGUGUCCCCAGCAGGAUGAAAACAUUUUGAAGAAAAUUAAAGAUAAUCCUGUUUGAGAUGAAAGUCUUUCCAAGAAGAGAAAGCAGUAUGUAGAAUGUACAAGAGCUUAGAGAACUUGGUACAUUUGAGCCGUAAGUACAUUGCGGCACCUGGAGGAAGACGUGCUGGAUGGGAGAAGAAAGAAAUGAAGCUUGAGAUGUAGAUAGUGCUUAACACGGCAAGGCACAAAAAGAAAAUGCCAGAAAUGGGUAUCUCUCAGUCUGUGGUGGGUUUUCAAGGGAACUUCCAAUGGAAGGUCAGGGCUUAUAGGGUGUUAUUGUUCUGUGUGAUUCAGAAAGUAUAACACAUACAUAUUUAACUGUAAUAACUUAUCAUCAUAUAUUAUAUAGUGUGGAUUUUCAUUACAUGCAGGUACCAUGUCAGGGUCUAGAGAUUCAGAGUUAAAAAGAGCAGUUCACAGAAAGGAAACACUUUAUAUGUCCAUCAGUUUACAUUUGGAAAGUUAGGAAGUCAAUCAAGAUACAAAUGCAUACAGGCUAGCUUGAGGGACAUGAGACUGGGGCCCCGGGAGACAAAAGAACUCCACAUUUAGCUUAACGCAUUGUUGGUCCCUUGGAGGCCACUGAGCUGGAAAUUGCACUGAUUAAUCUAGAGUGAUCUAGAUAAGCAAAUGAUGCCCCGAGGUCCGAAUCUAGCCCCCCCUCAUUAUUUUGCAUCUCUGUGAGCUAUAAAUGAGAAGGUUUUGCAUUCUGUAUAGAAGAGAAUAAAAUCAAAGGCAGACUAGCAUUUUAUGACAUUCCAAUUGUGUGAAGUUCAUCUCUGCAUCCCUAAACUGCCAUGAGUACACAGCCACCCACUUUUUGUUGUUGUUUCUGUAUUAUUUGUGGUUAGUUUUACAGUACUGUGGUACAUGUGCAAGACAGAAUAGCUUGUAAGACCUGAAAUAUGUAACCAGAACCUAACCUAACCUAAAAGUUCACUGGCCUUGACUGAGGGGAUAACCUACCAUCUCAAUGGUUGAAUUAGCUAGUUUAGCUUCUCUGUUUGGUGUCACAGUUCUUUCUCUUUUUGACUCUGGACAGCAUAAGGCUUAAACCCACUGUUGGAGCGCGAGGGUUUCGGGAUAUGUGAUCCCUGUGUGUCCCUCCACCACUGUCUGUCUGUCCUGUAUCCGGGGCAGCCUAGUAAGUGCUACACACGGGGCACCCCAGAAUAUUUCACAGGCGUAGAAUGCUGUGGGAUGCGUGUGAUGUGUUCUCAGUCUCGCUUUCCUUUCCAGGCUGCGGUCACAAGGGCAAGAACCGGCUCGCUACAGGGAGCCUUGCAUUGCUUCGCGGGCAGAGCGCUAUGUUCUUGCUCCGUCCUUGUUUACUGCAGCGAAAUCAGCACACAGAGGCUGCUGCUUAGCAUAACGCUGUCCCUGGCAGCCUAACUCCUUUAGGAGUAGAAUAUUUACCAGUGGACAAAUUCUUGAAGUAUGUUUGGAAGUUCUGAGAUGAAAGACUAGUGAUAACAAGCAAUUUUUAAUCUUAAGACUCAAGGCAAAAAAAUAAAAACUAAGGCAGCAAAGUAUGUGAGCCGCCCUUGCCAGUGGCCUGGAGGCCCCAGCACGCCCAGAUGCCCACGUGGAGCAGGGCUUGUUUACAGCCUGCAACAUCGAAAGCUUUAUUUUUCCGUCCUUAUUUCUAAACUGAUGUGCUCAGCCGUUAUCUGACAUCGCCACAGGAUGUUUAAUAGACAGCUAAAAACAGCUGAGCUGAGAGCCCGAACUCUGAUCUCUAUCUGCGUCAACCACAGUCUUCCCUGCCUUGAUGGCACGAUUAUCACAGUGGCUUGAACUGAAAACCGGCAUCUGUUCCAGCUUUCAGCCCCUCAUUACUUAUCUCCUUCUCCCAUCUAACUCAUGAGCACAUCCUUUUCUCUGCCUCUGUGCUGUGCCUGAUACCAUUGCUUUUCUGUCCUGCGCAUCCUUCCUCAUCCCGGGCCUCCCCGGAGUCCCUCUGGACCAUUCCUGUGGGCUUCCCACUCUUAUGCUGACCCUUCUCGUGGCAGAAUGAUCUUCAGAAUAUGCAAAAAUUAUAGAGAAUAAUGUAAUAAAUACCUGUGUGUCUAUGACCUAUGUUUUGAAAUAAACACAGUCUCCUAAAUGCCUUGAUCACCAUUCUUCUUCCCCCUUUUUCAAAAGUAAUAAUUUUCUUUAAUUUAAUAAAUAUCAUUAUCACUAAUAUGUAUAUGCUUUUGCUUUAUAUGUUACUAGGCAAUAUAUGCUCAUAUUGUUGUGCACAGUGCUAACUAUGUAAAUGGUAUCACACUGUUGGAAUCAAGUUCUUUUUCCCUCUGGGAUUUAUAUUUGUGAGAUUACUUGGCUCGUUUUCGUUUCAGUGCUGUAUAAUUUUCUGUAGAUAAUCAUGGCACCAUUUUAUUUAGUUCUUUCCAUGUUAAUUAAUGUUGAGGUUGUGUUCGAGGUUUUAGUGCAUGCUAACAAAACAUAACAUAGAGUUUUAUGUUUUAUGUUCACACGGGCAAGGGUUUCCCUAGGGCAGUGACUUUUAAAUAUCUCUGAAUGUGUCUUAAGCAAGAAAUGUAUUUUAUGUCAUGACUGCUGAGUACUGGGUUUACAAUAUCGUUACAUAACUGAGGAUGAAAUGUCAGAAAUAAUAUUUAUCUUGACAACUUUCUGUGUGUUCUAACUUCCAUACGCUUUUCUAUGUUAUAUUAUGUUUUUCUGUUUGAUUCUAAUUGAUAAAAGUGUUACUCUUCAUUGACAACAUUUUAUGUUUUUUUUUAAAUGGGUCAAUACUCCCAAUCUGAGACUCUUUAUUCUUUGUUAUAUAUGAGCAAUAGAAUUGUUGUAUCGGUAUGUGUUCCUAGGACCUUGGGGAUGGCUAUAUAAAACUGUAAGUGUUCAUAUGACCUUAGAUAUUAUAAGAUUACCACACACUUACUUGUUCUCGGUGCUGUCUGACUUUUCAGUGUUUGCCAGUUUGAUAACUGUAAGUGCCAUCCUGCCCUGAUGCCCACUGCUGUGAUUAGGGUGAGUUCUGAGCAUAGUUUGCAUGUCUUAUUUUAAAACCCAGCAGACACAUCACAGAACAGUUGGAUAAAAGUCUGUCUUCCUCCUCGAUGCCCAGCAGUCUUAGUGAUCUACCAGUUUGGCCCUACCCUGCCUUGCUCUCGUCCUGAAUUCUUCUCCUUCUGUUCUUCAGCCCGGCAAGGUUAUUUCUAUUUCACUGGUCUCUAAAAUUAUUCCUUCCAUAUCUUUUCUGGCUUAAGGUAAAGUACUACCCCUGCAGAAGGUUUCCUGUACCUUAGAGACCAGCGGCCUUCCCUACACUUCACGUCCAUGCGCGGCCCUCACUAUAGUCUCUGACACACUUGCAUCAGACUGCUGUGGGUGAGCGUUGAAGCAUCCACCCUAACACAAUGCAGGUCGAGCAGUAGAAAGUGAGCUGUGCCUGGGGAGGAGCAGUCAGCGAUGCCGGAGGAGAGACCGUCUCACGGCAACUGUUGGAGACAGGGCCAGGAGCUGAGCACAUGCGUCCUGUCAAAGAGGCAAGCAUGAAGGCACCAGAGGAAGGUUCAGUCCCGCUGUGACUGAGGACCAGGCUGGCUCUAGCAAAGGCAAAGUGGAAACUAAACACAGAUUUUUAUCCAAAAAGGAAAAAGGCACGGGAGUCUGCUCAGCUGAUGCUUUGACUCUUAAUAUGUACCUUCUCUCUGUCUCUCUCUGUCUCUGUCUCUGUCUCUGUCUCUGUCUCUGUCUCUGUCUCUCUCUCUCUCUCUCUCUCUCUCUCUCUGUCUCUCUCUGUCUCUCUCUCUCUCUCUCCCUUUGGUCAAGUUAGUAAUCUAAUCUAGAGCUCAAAAUCCUUAGUUUCACCACCUGUAUUUUGUAUGAUGGGUAAAAGAUACCUAAAAGAAUCAAUAAGAUCCUGAAUCAGGUCUGCUUUGUUGUCUUUAUAUACACAGUGCCCGUGAUAAUGCCUCCUGAAAUGUGCAAAAAUAUUUGCGGCAUUGAAAAGCUGAUUUUUAUUUAUUAUUUCAGAAAGUAUGCAGUGAAUUUAUUUUAUGUGGCCAUGCCAUGGGGUGAUGAAGAUCAUAACCAGAUGAAUUCACAGUACACACCAUAGUUACUCUACGUAUCUGGUUCUGUGAAAGAAUGAAGGUCGCCUGACCCUUUUAGGGGAGGGGAAGUAACACAUCAGUGGUUCUUCCUGGGAAAGGUCAGGACUACCUCGAGUUUUGACCACUGAUUGAGUGUUAAGGCAGAGAAGAUGGUGAAGAAAGAGCAUCUUCAGUAGAGAACAGCAUUAUGAGUAUGUGAGCUAAACAGUGCUGGAUACAGCUGAAGGAGGAGCAUUAUCUCACAUACAGAACAUCCUCCUAGCCAUGCUGACGACUUGGUGGCCAAUAAAGAGCCACUGAAAGGUUUAAUCAGAGCAUAGUGAGUGAGAUGUGCUUUCAAAGGUCACUUCUGCAUCAAAAUGAUGAUGGGUUCAAGGAAUCAAACAUUAAUGGAAUAAACUACAAUUCUGGUUAGGAUGAAGGAAUUUGCAGGAGAUCAGAACUUCUACUAUGGCAAGAAGAAAAAUCUCCAGGAAAAUCACAUACUCAUAAUUAUUUAAAAUGUAGUAAAGAUCUAGGGAAGCAAAGAAACUAAAUGAAACUAAAUUCCAAAACAAGAUAAGCCUUUCCAAGGAGAAUAGCAACUCACGGCUGCUUUCAACCCAGUGGAGGGUAUGGAGAGCCGCGACCCACCAUGCACAUGGGGGAAGAAAAACCAGCAAAAAGCUCAAUGAGCAGGGGACCAGGCGCGGAGAGCUCCAGCCACAAGGACAUCUCUACCUACACAGCUAGGUUUCUACGGACACUCCCGAGGGCAGAGACACAGAAGGCUGAAGUCCAGGGUUAUCGGAGGAGCUUAGUAAGGGCCCCUGAGGUACAAGUCUCACUUCUCAGGAACAAAGAGGCAGCUUAUGGAAAGCUUGGAGUGCGUAGAAUUGUGAAAUUUGAGCAGAACACACAGGGCUUUUACUGAGCACAAAGCGAGGUUUGCAGAACAUUCUGUGCGGGGUAGAAGGCCGCUAGAGGUACUUCCUGCAGCUCAGCCAGCCUUCAGGGAGCUGUGUGAGGCCCACAAAGGCUGGCAGAAGGAAGCAAGAGAGAAGAGAUAUGCUGACCACACUUAGAGAAGGAGCCCUGAAUGCAAGAACCCAGGGACUUAGAAUGCAGGAGACCCAGCUGUGAAACAGGGAGAGCUCAUGUGGCCUGAGAAAUCUGAAGGCUGAGUUACAAAGCAACAAGUGUCUUCCAGAGCUGGGCAUCGCGCAGAUUCCACGUGGUACUCAAGAGAACAGCCUGUUCCUGGUCACAUAGAAGCCACAUUUGGUCACAUUUGGUCACAUUUGAAGCCAGUGGUGAACUAUCUAACUCUAAUCAGAUUUGCAGCAAAAUCCAGGUGCAAACUAUAAUUUAGAUAGUAUUAGCCUCAGCUUGCCUCUUUCUAUGCAUACCACUUAUUGAGGGUGGACCAUAGAGAGCUCAGACUGCAUGGGGCAAAUGUCCUUAACGCCAUUGGUCUUUUACAUACAACAUUUGACAGAAAAUUAAAAGAAUUAUACAAAACUGCCAAGAAAUAUGGACAUGUGAUUGAGAGAAAUCAAAAUACAAAGUCUGUACCAGCACACAAAGAUGACUGACUGGCAUUGAUUCUCAUGAAUAGUCUUUGUGGUAUCUUUAUUCUUUUUUAAUGCCUAUUUGUAAUGCAGAAUAGUGAUGUUUAUUUGAGGGAAUUGAUUCAGGAGUAUAGCAUAUCUUAAUUAUUUUUAAUCCUUUUGCCCUCCCAUUUUCUUUCCUGUUAAAUAUUACAUGUUUUCUCUUAUAUGAGAAACCUAAGAUAGAAAUGAGUAAGAUGCAGCACAGGAUAACAGGAUAGGAAAAUAGAGGGUAGAUUGUUGGAGAUGGUAAAAGGAAUCUUUAUUUUUGAGAAUAGCUACGAUUUUUUAAGAUUACGAUGAAAAAAGUAUACUUUCAGAUCUAGAGGCAUAUUUGAAUAACAUGCAUAACCAUGUGAAUUUAUGUAAGAAAAGAGAAAUUAUAAAUUAAAUGUUAGACUUGAAAAUUAAUGUAUCAGAAUUAAGUAAUGUGUUUGGUGACCUCAAAAGAAUACUAAGUGUGAAAACAGGUCAAUAGAAAUUGUUCAAGUUGAAAUAAAAGAGAAAAAUGGUUAAAGACAUGAACCAUGCAUUCAUAGUAUGUUGUACAGUAGAAGACGAUCUAAGAUAGGUAGAACUGGAGUCCCAGAAGAGGAGGGAAGGGGAUUAGCAAACAGGAAUUGUUGAAGUUGGAAGAGCAGAUUUCUAAAAUAGCUGAAAGUUACCAGUCCACAGGUGCAAGAAGAUACUGGAACACUACACACCACAAAUAUGAAGACCGUACCAAGUCGCAUCAAAAUCAAACUUUGAAAAUAAGAUAAAAAUAUAAAAUCUUAACAACCAGGAGUGGGGAAGAACAUACAAGAAGAAAAAUAAAAAUGACAGACGUCUUCGUUGUAGACAAGAAAACAACAGACUACGUUUAAAGCACUAAAAGAAAAAAGGGAUCCAUUAAAAAUCAAUGCCUUCGUCACCUGCUGUUACUGGGACCCAACAGCCUCAUCCACACUUUAAAGGAAAGAAAGCUCAUCUUGACCCGUGUUCUAGAUGUUUCAGUCCUCGGGUGGUCACAGACAUGGGUCAGUCAUGACCCGAGACCUAGGCAGAGAAGGGCUACGUGUGUGCUGGCAUCCGUGAAGUGAAAGAGAAGACAGGAGUGGGACAGAGCUGUGCCAUUUCAGGUGCACCCCAGGGAGCCCCUUCUUCAGACCAGGCUCCGCCACCUUACAGUAAGCUAAACUCACCUAACCCUACCAUCUUAUAGAAGCUAUAAUGGGGGGCACAUGGAGCUCUGCUGAGACACCUAGAUACAAACUGUAACAUAUAACAUACUUUAGAAUAUAAUUUAUAAGUAAAAAUAUCCUUCAAAUAUAAGUCAGCCUGAAGAUCUUUUUAGACUGACAAAUGUUAAAUGGUUUCCUGAAGACCUGCUCUAUAAGAAAUCCUAGAGGAAGGUCUUCAGGCGGGAGUGAGUAAUAGUCAGCAGGCUGCAGGAAGGAAUACAGGGGCGGAUGUUUUCUAAGCCUUUAGAGAAUGAUGUUCACAUGCUCGGUGUUUAUACCCACAUGCAGUAACCUAACUCAUCCAUUUUAAUAUGAAGACAGGAGGAAGAAAAGAUGGUCGAAGAGCUCUAACAUGCAAAUAAUAGGCACAAGGAAGCUGGUGAAAGUUUAUUAACUGUACAAACGGACCUCAAGAAGCACUGUUAGAGCAUUCCUCGGAUGACCCACAGUCCUGGCUUGUUCAGCCUUGUGAAUUCUUCACAUUUGCACCUUCUCACUGCCUGGCCUCCCAGGCCCUCUUCUGAAAUCUGGUGGAAGCCUUCCUGACCCCACAACUCUCGCACUCUGCAUGCAUCUAAAACCAGAAUCAGGUUAUUUCCUUCCUUCCUUCCUUCUUUCACAGUUCAAAAAGAUUCGAAGUUCAGAAGACAGGAAAGAAGAAGGAGGAGAAAAGGAAAAGAGGAGGAGGAGGAGAAAGAGGAGAAGAGAAAGGGAGACUGGUGGGGAAGAGGGUGGAAAGGAAACAAAGAAAAACAAAGACGACAAGAAAGGAAGGGAAGUCAAGCGGGAGCAGCAAGGCGGGGUGACGGAAGCCGGAAACGUAACUACAAGCUCUAAUGUCCGUGGGAUUUGCGUUUACCUUUACAUUUUUCUCUGGUAUAUAAUAAAUGGAAAAUACAAAUA